ACACUCACUCUUUGCAGACCAUAACAUGUCAGCCUUUGGGCAGCUUCUUGUCAUGUGCUCAGAGUAGACAGAUGUGUUGGAACAAGUGAUCUGUGGCUGGAAAGUCAUCAUUCCAGUUGGUUUAUGGAGAGCUAAUGAAGUCAAAGGAAUUGUGCAGUGAGGGAAUAGAUAAUGAAGUACCUACCCAUUAGUAACUGUCUGAGCCAGCUUGGUCUUGCAGAAUAUUGCAUGCUUUUUGAACAAUAUGAUGGCAUAGAGGACUUAUUCCAUCUUACAGAAGUUGAUCUUAGAAAAAUGGGAGUUGAGAACUGAGUCCACAUAACACACAUCAUUUCCAAUAUUCUACUGAUUCAGGAUGUAGAAAGAAAGA